rnacentral:rRNA from 1 species
UACGGAGGGUGCUAGCGUUGUUCGGAAUUACUGGGCGUAAAGCGCACGUAGGCGGCGCUUUAAGUCAGAGGUGAAAGCCCGGGGCUCAACCCCGGAAUAGCCUUUGAGACUGGCUUGCUUGAAUCUUGGAGGGGUGAGUGGAAUUCCGAGUGUAGAGGUGAAAUGCGUAGAUAUGCGGAAGAACACCAGUGGCGAAGGCGGCUCACUGGACAAGUAUUGACGCUGAGGUGCGAAAGCGUGGGGAGCAAACAGG